GAUCAUGGCUCAGAUUGAACGCUGGCGGCGUGCUUAACACGAUGCAAGUCGCGCGUGAAAGGACUUCGGUCCGAGUAAAGCGGCGCACGGGUGAGUAACGCGUGGAUGAUCUACCCAUGAGUUAGGAAUAACGGCUGGAAACGGUCGCUAAUACCAAAUACGCUCCGAUUUCAACUUCGGGGGAAAGGUGGCCUCUGCUUGCAAGCUACUGCUCAUGGAUGAGUCCGCGUCCCAUUAGCUAGUUGGUGGGGUAACGGCCCACCAAGGCGACGAUGGGUAGCCGGUCUGAGAGGAUGACCGGCCACACUGGGACUGGAACACGGCCCAGACUCCUACGGGAGGCAGCAGUGGGGAAUAUUGCGCAAUGGGCGAAAGCCUGACGCAGCGACGCCGCGUGAGGGGAAUGAAGGUCCUCGGAUCGUAAACCUCUGUCAGGAGGGAAGAACCGCCACGGUGCUAAUCAGCCGUGGUCUGACGGUACCUCCAAAGGAAGCACCGGCUAACUCCGUGCCAGCAGCUGC
rnacentral:rRNA from 1 species